CCAUUGCUAUGAAAUUGAAUGGGUGAAAGGGAAGAAGUAAUUCACCAAAUGGAAAAUCUCCCAGAGGAUAAAGGGCCCCCUAAGUGCUGGGCCAGAAUACUGACAGAUCUCAUAACCCAAACUCUUGGUGGAAUUUCUAAAGAUAAUGAGAAGAAUCACUCUGAGCUCUCUGCUCCACCAGCAUUAAAAGAGUGAGAAGCAAGCCAACUUCACGUAGCUAUGGGAGAGGAGGCAUGAUCAGGACACAGCCUGUCACUUGGCAAAUCCAGAAUACAGACAUCACAGCGUGGAAUGGGACACGAGGAGCUUGGAAAGUUGGUUGGGAUCCGAUCAAGAAGCCUUGGAUGUCAGGGUGGAUAGUCUGUGUCUUUGCCAAUAAAGGUGACACGCCCAGGUGUCUCUUGGAUACACCCGGAAAGUGGGACUAGGAUGGAGAACCGUGGCAGGGACUGAAGUGGUGGGCAAGUGCAAUUGCCCAGGAGGUCAGGACGACCAGAUUCCAGGAAAGCAAAAGUAAUGAGACAUGCUGAGCUCUGCCCCAGCAUCCACUUCUGCUUACAAACUGAAGGUGAAAUCUUACGCCUGCUCAAUAAGUAACAGAACACACAUGGCAUUGGUCUUAAAUUACCUCAAGGCCACCACAAAGGCACACAGUUUUAGGUAGGGACACAACAAUGCUAGGAAGGGAAAUCCACUGCGGUUUUUUGUAUAUACACAUGAAAAUUAAAUGCUUUCAGAUAUGCAUUAA